rnacentral:rRNA from 1 species
GGACAAAUUAAAAUAAAUAAAUUAAAUAUUUUUACACUAUUUUGUCUACUCCAUUUCUAUUUCUACUUUUGCCUUAUUACUUUAAAUCCUAUAUAGGAACACUUUUGCUUUUGUCUUUGCAAAGCAAAGGAAAAGUAGUAUGUUCCUCCCUAUGACUAAAUAUAACUGCAAAGGUGUAUAUUAAAUAUGGAAAAACAAAAAAAAAGGUAAAAUCACUUAUUUAUAAAUAAUUAUCACUCAAUCCAGUCUUAAAUUAAAAAACAAAAGAAAAAACAAUAUAAUAUAAAUAAUAAUACAAAUUACUAUUUAUAUAAAUAAAGACUUUCUCCUUUUUUUUAUAAAAAAAAAGAGGGAUUGGCUAUGCAAGAACUGGUA